UACGGGAGGCAGCAGUGGGGAAUUUUGGACAAUGGGGGAAACCCUGAUCCAGCCAUCCCGCGUGUAUGAUGAAGGCCUUCGGGUUGUAAAGUACUUUUGGCAGAGAAGAAAAGGUAUCUCCUAAUACGAGAUACUGCUGACGGUAUCUGCAGAUAA
rnacentral:rRNA from 1 species